GAUGAACGCUGGCGGCGUGCCUAAUACAUGCAAGUCGAGCGAACGGACGAGAAGCUUGCUUCUCUGAUGUUGGCGGCGGACGGGUGAGUAACACGUGGAUAACCUACCUAUAAGACUGGGAUAACUUCGGGAAACCGUAGCUAAUACCGGAUAAUAUUUUGAACCGCAUGGUUCAAAAGUGAAAGACGGUCUUGCUGUCACUUAUAGAUGGAUCCGCGCUGCAUUAGCUAGUUGGUAAGGUAACGGCUUACCAAGGCAACGAUGCAUAGCCGACCUGAGAGGGUGACCGGCCACACUGGAACUGAGACACGGUCCAGACUCCUACGGGAGGCAGCAGUAGGGAAUCUUCCGCAAUGGGCGAAAGCCUGACGGAGCAACGCCGCGUGAGUGAUGAAGGUCUUCGGAUCGUAAAACUCUGUUAUUAGGGAAGAACAUAUGUGUAAGUAACUGUGCACAUCUUGACGGUACCUAAUCAGAAAGCCACGGCUAACUACGUG
rnacentral:rRNA from 1 species